rnacentral:rRNA from 1 species
CCUACGGGUGGCUGCAGUGAGGAAUAUUGCGCAAUGGCCGAAAGGCUGACGCAGCGACGCCGCGUGAGGGAUGAAGUCCGUUAGGAUGUAAACCUCUUUUGCAGGGGAUGAAUGUCUCGCUAUACGCGGGAUUGACCGUACCCUGCGAAUAAGGAUCGGCUAACUACGUGCCAGCAGCCGCGGUAAUACGUAGGAUCCGAGCGUUGUCCGGAAUUGAUGGGUGGUGUAGGCGUGUUGCUAGGUUCCUGAGGAAAUCCCGCAGCUUAACUGCGGAAUUGCCGUCGAUACUGGGGAUCUUGAGUACGGCAGAGGGAGAUGGAAUUCAUGGUGUAGCGGUGAAAUGUGUAGAGAUCAUGAAGAACACCGGUAGCGAAGGCGGUCUCCUGGUCCGUAACUGACACUGAUGCGCGAAAGCGUGGGGAGCGAACAGGAUUAGAUACCCGGGUAGUC